CCUAACACAUGCAAGUCGAACGGUAACAGGAAACAGCUUGCUGUUUCGCUGACGAGUGGCGGACGGGUGAGUAAUGUCUGGGAAACUGCCUGAUGGAGGGGGAUAACUACUGGAAACGGUAGCUAAUACCGCAUAACGUCGCAAGACCAAAGAGGGGGACCCUCGGGCCUCUUGCCAUCGGAUGUGCCCAGAUGGGAUUAGCUUGUUGGUGGGGUAACGGCUCACCAAGGCGACGAUCCCUAGCUGGUCUGAGAGGAUGACCAGCCACACUGGAACUGAGACACGGUCCAGACCCCUACGGGAGGCAGCAGUGGGGAAUAUUGCACAAUGGGCGCAAGCCUGAUGCAGCCAUGCCGCGUGUAUGAAGAA
rnacentral:rRNA from 1 species